rnacentral:rRNA from 1 species
GUAACACGUAGUCAACAUGCCCAGGGGACGUGGAUAACCUCGGGAAACUGAGGAUAAACCGCGAUAGGUCACUACUUCUGGAAUGGGUAAUGACUCAAACCUAUAUGGCCCCUGGAUUGGACUGCGGCCGAUCAGGCUGUUGGUGAGGUAAUGGCCCACCAAACCUGUAACCGGUACGGGCUCUGAGAGGAGGAGCCCGAGAGAAUGGGCACUGAGACAAGGGCCCAGGCCCUAUGGGGCGCAGCAGGCGCGAAACCUCUGCAAUAGGCGAAAGCCUGACAGGGUUACUCUGAGUGAUUUCCGUUAAGGAGAUCUUUUGGCACCUCUAAAAAUGGUGCAGAAUAAGGGGUGGGCAAGUCUGGUGUCACCCGCCCGCGUAAAUCACCCCACCCCGAGUGGUCGGGACGUUUAUUGGGCCUAAAGCAUCCGUAGCCGGUUCUACAAGUCUUCCGUUAAAUCCAGCUGCUUAACAGAUGGCCCGCGGAAGAUACUAUAGUAGCU